rnacentral:rRNA from 1 species
GAUGAACGCUGGCGUCGUGCCUAAUACAUGCAAGUCGAGCGAAGCGGGGACGGGUGAGUAACACGUGGAUCACCUCCUAUACGACUGGGAUAACUUCGGGAAACCGGAGCUAAACCGGAUACUUAUAGAUGGCUCCGCCCUGCAUUAGCUGGUUGGUAAGGUAACGGCUGACCAAGGCAACGGUGCAUAGCCGACCUGCAAGGGUGACCGGCAACACGGGAACUGAGACACGGGGCAGCCUCCUACGGGGGGCAGCAGUAGGGAACCUUCCGAAAGGGUCGAAAGCCUGACGGAGCAACGACGAGUGAGUGAUGAAUGUCUUCGGAUCGUAAAACGCAGUUAUUAGGGAAGCGGUAGCGAAUCAAAAAGCCACGGCUAACUACGUGCCAGCAGCCGCGGUAAUUC